GUGGCGGACGGGUGAGUAACGCGUGGGUAACCUGCCUUGUACUGGGGGACAACAGUUGGAAACGACUGCUAAUACCGCAUAAGCGCACAGCUUCGCAUGAAGCAGUGUGAAAAACUCCGGUGGUACAAGAUGGACCCGCGUCUGAUUAGCUGGUUGGUGAGGUAACGGCCCACCAAGGCAACGAUCAGUAGCCGGCCUGAGAGGGUGAACGGCCACAUUGGGACUGAGACACGGCCCAAACUCCUACGGGAGGCAGCAGUGGGGAAUAUUGCACAAUGGGGGAAACCCUGAUGCAGCAACGCCGCGUGAGUGAAGAAGUAUUUCGGUAUGUAAAGCUCUAUCAGCAGGAAAGAAAAUGACGGUACCUGACUAAGAAGCCCCGGCUAACUACGUGCCAGCAGCCGCGGUAAUACGUAGGGGGCAAGCGUUAUCCGGAUUUACUGGGUGUAAAGGGAGCGUAGACGGUUUUGCAAGUCUGAAGUGAAAGCCCGGGGCUUAACCCCGGGACUGCUUUGGAAACUGUAGAACUAGAGUGCAGGAGAGGUAAGUGGAAUUCCUAGUGUAGCGGUGAAAUGCGUAGAUAUUAGGAGGAACACCAGUGGCGAAGGCGGCUUACUGGACUGUAACUGACGUUGAGGCUCGAAAGCGUGGGGAGCAAACAGGAUUAGAUACCCUGGUAGUCCACGCCGUAAACGAUGAUUACUAGGUGUUGGUGGGUAUGACCCAUCGGUGCCGCAGCAAACGCAAUAAGUAAUCCACCUGGGGAGUA
rnacentral:rRNA from 1 species